GACUGUGUAGCCUAAUGGAUAAGGCAUCUGACUUCAGAUCAGAAGAUUGAGGGUUUGAGUCCCUUCGUGGUUG
rnacentral:tRNA from 2 species